rnacentral:misc_RNA from 1 species
UUUCCGUAGGUGUACCUGCGGAAGGAUCAUUAAUAAAUUUUUUUUGAAAUAAAAAAAAAAUAAUAAUCAUCCUACCCUUUGUGAAUUUGUUUUGUUGAAUAAUUUUUUAAAAUUAUUUAUUGUCUAUCCAAGUUGGAAAGUUGUAAAAGACUGAAGACUUGGAGCGGCAUAAAUAAAUUUUAAAGACUUUUUUCUAAAAUUAAACUUUUUGUAUUCAUUUGUCUAAAAUAAUUUUUAUAAUAUAUAAAACAACUUUUGACAAUGGAUCUCUUGGUUCUCGCAACGAUGAAGAACGCAGCAAAAUGCGAUAAGUAAUGUGAAUUGCAGAAUACGUGAAUCAUCGAAUCUUCGAACGCAUAUUGCACUUUUUUAGUUUACUAAAAAGUAUGUCUGUUUGAGUAUCAGUAAAAUAUUCUCAUAAAAUUUUUAAUUUUAUGGUUAUGAGUGUUUUACAACGAUAAACAAGUUGUUUCACUUUAAAUUGAAUUUUUGAAGAAAUUCUUUAAUUCAAAUUAAAUUUGGAUAAAAUUUUCCCGUAAAAAGGAAUAACUAUACAAGUUUAAUAAGAAUUUGGAUUUCUUUUAUAAAAGGAAAUUUAUUAAAUAACUUGAUCUCAAAUCAGAUAAGAGUACCCGCUGAACUUAAGCAUAUCAAUAAGCGGAGGAAAAGAAACUAACAAGGAUUCCCCUAGCAACGGCGAGUGAAGCGGGAAGAGCUCAAAUUUGAAAUCUUAAAGGGUUUCCCUUUACGAAUUGUAGUUUAAAGAAGUGUUUUCUGUUAAGGUUUUGGUAAAAGUUCUUUGGAAUAGGACAUCAUAGAGGGUGAGAAUCCCGUAUUUGACCUUUACUUUCAACUUUGUGAUACACUUUCAAAGAGUCGGAUUGUUUGGGAAUGCAGUCCAAAAUGGGUGGUAAAUUUCAUCUAAAGCUAAAUAUUGGCGAGAGACCGAUAGCGAACAAGUACCGUGAGGGAAAGAUGAAAAGAACUUUGAAAAGAGAGUUAAACAGUACGUGAAAUUGUCAAAAGGGAAGUGUUUGACACCAGUGUUGUUUUUCUGAAAAUCAAUUAAAGAACUGUUUAUGCUAAGUUGUUUAGACUUUAUCAGCUAACUGUUUAGUUUUGAGCUUUUCUUUAAUGCACUUUUCAGUUAACAAGUCAACAUCAAUUUCUUUUGCUGUAAAAAAGCUUGAGGAAGGUGGCUUGAGAUUCGUCUUAAGUGUUUAUAGCCUCUUGCCUAUGCAGUCGGAGAGAUUGAGGUCUGCAGCGUAGAUCCUUCGGGGCUAAAUGCAUUUGUGCUAAGUUAUAGCAUUCUAUAGACAACUUGUUGACUAUGAUUUGUCUUGUAGCUUACUCGCUUAUGUUAUUUUACCUACGCUUAGGAUGUUG